AAGCUCGUAGUUGAAAUUGUGUCCUGCGGUGUCGGUCUGCCGAGUGAGGUACGACAGGCACGUCUGUGGGACUUCUCGCCGGUGCGUCAACCGUCUAAGCGCGUCGGUCUUCCCGAGCGGAUGCGCCGCACGCGCCGAGGCGGAACGUUGCGGCUGUUUACUUUGAACAAAUUAGAGUGCUCAAAGCGGGCUAACACACGCCUGAAUAUUGUACGCAUGGAAUAAUGGAAUAGGACCUCGGUUCUGUUUUGUUGGCUUUCUGAUACCAGAGGUAAUGAUUAAUAGGGACAACUGGGGGCAUUCGUAUUGCGACGUUAGAGGUGAAAUUCUUGGAUCGUCGCAAGACGAACUAAAGCGAAAGCAUUUGCCAAAGGUGUUUUCAUUAAUCAAGAACGAAAGUUAGAGGUUCGAAGGCGAUUAGAUACCGCUGUAGUUCUAACCAUAAAUGAUGCCAGCCAGCGAUCCGCCGAAGUUUCACAAUCUUAACCCGGUGGGCAGCUCCCGGGAAACCAA
rnacentral:rRNA from 1 species